rnacentral:rRNA from 1 species
CGAAAGAUUGAUCCAGUUACUUAUUAGGAUGAUAUAUAAAAAUAUUUUAUUUUAUUUAUAAAUAUUAAAUAUUUAUAAUAAUAAUAAUAAUAAUAUAUAUAUAUAAAUUGAUUAAAAAUAAAAUCCAUAAAUAAUUAAAAUAAUGAUAUUAAUUACCAUAUAUAUUUUUAUAUGGAUAUAUAUAUUAAUAAUAAUAUUAAUUUUAUUAUUAUUAAUAAUAUAUUUUAAUAGUCCUGACUAAUAUUUGUGCCAGCAGUCGCGGUAACACAAAGAGGGCGAGCGUUAAUCAUAAUGGUUUAAAGGAUCCGUAGAAUGAAUUAUAUAUUAUAAUUUAGAGUUAAUAAAAUAUAAUUAAAGAAUUAUAAUAGUAAAGAUGAAAUAAUAAUAAUAAUUAUAAGACUAAUAUAUGUGAAAAUAUUAAUUAAAUAUUAACUGACAUUGAGGGAUUAAAACUAGAGUAGCGAAACGGAUUCGAUACCCGUGUAGUUCUAGUAGUAAACUAUGAAUACAAUUAUUUAUAAUAUAUAUUAUAUAUAAAUAAUAAAUGAAAAUGAAAGUAUUCCACCUGAAGAGUACGUUAGCAAUAAUGAAACUCAAAACAAUAGACGGUUACAGACUUAAGCA